UACAGUUUUUUUUUUUAGAAAUGUCCAAUUUUGCUGGGCUCAAAACUUUAUUUAUGAUGAUGUUUUUUGUGACCUAUCUAUUCGUAAUUUACAGCUCGAUUCUAAAUAUUCUCGCGAAAUUAUAUUCUCACGGAUUUUUCUUUUCUCGAGAAAAAAAUCCUCCUAUUAUUUUCCGCAAGGGAGAGGAAUAAUUGAGGAAGAAUUUCGAAUUUUUGAAAUCAGCUGUUUUGCCAAAUGACAUUUCAUUUAGACAUUCUGAGAGAAUUCAAAAGUUUGAACUUUUUGUUGAAUUUUGUAUCGUUUUAAGAAAAUAUUAAAAAUAACGCAUAGUAUUGCCUUUCAUAUGGUAGUGGAGGGAGUAUAUGGCGAAUUGGAGCCACAGGAAGCUCAACAGAGGUCUAUAACAAGGAGCCUGCGCGAUAAUACGAAUCCGCUUGAGUUGCCGCAAUCAUUGUUCCAGAAAUAUUAUAGAUGUGUGACCACGAGAUUAGGAUUCGAUACGUUGAUGCCUCCCAUCCUGGUGCCUCUCAUGACUCCUUUAUUUGGAAUGGCAGUGAGUUGAGAACGCAUCUUGAAGCACAGUACUUGCGAGGUGAAGGCAAUUUUUGGCUGCUUGGAGACGCCGGAUACCCUUAAGAACCAUGGCUUCUGACCCCAUAUCGAAGCCCAGAAGAUGGCUCCAACCAAAUGAAAUUUAAUGAUGCCCAUUCAAAACGUCGGAACUUAAUUGAACGAGUCAAUGGAGUGCUAAAAAAUCGACGGAGGUGUCUCCUUGGAGCAAGAGAACUGCAUUAUACCCCCAGAAAAGCAGCUCAGAUAGUCAAUGUAUGUUGUGCGUUACAUAAUAUAUGCAUACAUUUUAAGUCAUAUACAGACAUGAGCGAAAUAAACUCACCAGAGCAGAUAAACCAAAUGAGUGAGAAUACAGAUGUUACCUCUUUAACAUCGCCCCAGUAUUUGGCUGUAGCACAAACCACAAGAAACCGAAUUGCGAGCUCCCUUUAAAUUUUAAGUUACAAAAGCAAAAAACAUUUAUUUUCAUAUUUAAUUUUUAUAAGGAUAUAUAUUAAUUUCAUAUUCGUAUUCAGUCUUUUACAAAGGGAUAAAUGAAGUGAGUACCACAAUUAAGUUUCGUAUACUAAAAAUUAUUUUUAAAAUCCAUGGAUAUACAUACAUAUAUGUAAAUAAAACGUUAUAAGGCAACACAAAUUCAGUUUCUUCUUAUUUUCUUAGUAUUAAAUUAAAAUAUAAAACAGCAUCACAAAUCAGGUAUUCUUAUACUAAAAGGCCUCAUAAUAAACAUAAAAAGAAGUUAAUAUAUAUACAUUAAAAAAUAAAAACAUCACAAAUUCAGUUAUUCUUAUACUAAAAGGCCUCAUAAUAAACAUAAAGAAGAGUUAAUAUAUGUACAUUAAA